rnacentral:rRNA from 1 species
AGAGUUUGAUCCUGGCUCAGAGUGAACGCUGGCGGCGUGGAUUAGGCAUGCAAGUCGAACGAUCUCGCAAGAGAUAGUGGCAAAAGGGUGAGUAACACAUGAGCAAUUUACCUUUAAGUGGGGAACAACCUUGGGAAACCGAGGCUAAAACCGCAUAAGACCACGAUCGGGCAUCCGAUUGUGAUCAAAGAGGGGGACCGCAAGGCCUCUCGCUUAUAGAUGAGCUCGUGUCCUAUCAGCUAGUUGGUGAGGUAACGGCUCACCAAGGCUUUUGACGGGUAGCUGGUCUGAGAGGAUGGUCAGCCACAUUGGGACUGAGACACUGCCCAGACUCCUACGGGAGGCUGCAGUCGAGGAUCUUUUGCAAUGCCCGCAAGGGUGACAAUGCGACGCCGCGUGUGUGACGAAGGUCUUCGGAUCGUAAAACACUGUCGGCCGGGAUGAAUCUCUGGAGGUUGAAUAAACCUGCAGGGUGACAGUACCGGCAAAGGAAGCCACGGCUAACUCCGUGCCAGCAGCCGCGGUAAUACGGAGGUGGCAGGCGUUACUCGGAUUGAUUGGGUGUAAAGGGUGUGUAGGUGGCCUAUUAAGUCGAAUGUGAAAUACCUUGGCUCAACCAAGGAACUGCAUUCGAAACUGACUGGCUUGAGCGUCAGAGAGGAAAAUGGAAUUCACGGUGUAACAGUGAAAUGUGUAGAUAUCGUGAGGAACACCAGUGGCGAAGGCGAUUUUCUGGCUGACUGCUGACACUGAAACACGAGAGCUAGGGGAGCAAACAGGAUUAGAUACCCUGGUAGUCCUAGCCGUAAACGAUGUACACU